rnacentral:rRNA from 2 species
GGGACACGUGGUAUCCUGUCUGAAUAUGGGGGGACCAUCCUCCAAGGCUAAAUACUCCUGACUGACCGAUAGUGAACCAGUACCGUGAGGGAAAGGCGAAAAGAACCCCGGCGAGGGGAGUGAAAAAGAACCUGAAACCGUGUACGUACAAGCAGUGGGAGCACGCUUCGGCGUGUGACUGCGUACCUUUUGUAUAAUGGGUCAGCGACUUAUAUUCUGUAGCAAGGUUAACCGAAUAGGGGAGCCGAAGGGAAACCGAGUCUUAACUGGGCGUUAAGUUGCAGGGUAUAGACCCGAAACCCGGUGAUCUAGCCAUGGGCAGGUUGAAGGUUGGGUAACACUAACUGGAGGACCGAACCGACUAAUGUUGAAAAAUUAGCGGAUGACUUGUGGCUGGGGGUGAAAGGCCAAUCAAACCGGGAGAUAGCUGGUUCUCCCCGAAAGCUAUUUAGGUAGCGCCUCGUGAAUUCAUCUCCGGGGGUAGAGCACUGUUUCGGCAAGGGGGUCAUCCCGACUUACCAACCCGAUGCAAACUGCGAAUACCGGAGAAUGUUAUCACGGGAGACACACGGCGGGUGCUAACGUCCGUCGUGAAGAGGGAAACAACCCAGACCGCCAGCUAAGGUCCCAAAGUCAUGGUUAAGUGGGAAACGAUGUGGGAAGGCCCAGACAGCCAGGAUGUUGGCUUAGAAGCAGCCAUCAUUUAAAGAAAGCGUAAUAGCUCACUGGUCGAGUCGGCCUGCGCGGAAGAUGUAACGGGGCUAAACCAUGCAC